rnacentral:lncRNA from 1 species
AAAUUUAAGUCUGUCAAAUCUAGCCCGAGGCCGUUCGUGCUCCUUUCCCUGUCCAGGUGGCCCUUGCAAGCAUCCAGGGGUAGCCGAGAUGAACCGACACCGGUCGUGACAUCUCCGCUUAGCCUGUGGCUCCGUCACCCUCCCCGAGAACACAGGUACGGGUUCCGGCUCCUUCUGGAGGCGGCGCCCCUUGCUCUUCCUAACUCUGAAGCUCAGGCCAGUGCGCGGCGAGGCCGUGCGGAGGGCCAGGAGCCAGGGUGGUGGGUCCCGGGCCACGUCGCCGGCAGCCGCGCCCAGGGUGCUCCGCGGACUCGGGCCUGGCCGCCCCGGCGUCCCCCCGGGCCUUACCCGCAAAACGUGGUAGCCCUCGGUGCCGCCGCCCGGGAUCUCGACGCUCUGCGAGGAGCCCAUGGCGGCGGGCGAUCCGUACGACCCGGCCGGCUCAGCGCUGCUCCGCCUCGCGCACCGCCCGCUUGGCGACUCCGCGUAGCUCUUGGGACGUGGCACUUGCAGCAGCCCGAGCCGGGCCGCACAGCCCGCCGGGAGAUCGUCGCCCGGCAGCCACGGCCGCUGCCACGCCGCAGACAGCGCCCCCUGACGGGAGCCGGAGGGAACGAUCGGAAGAGCGCAGCGGGCGGAGGCAGGGAGCGCGAGAAAGCGGAAAGACAGCCCGGAACGCGACGGCUCGCUACGGGGCCCCGGAGCAGACAAGACUUAUCUCGGCGCGUUUCUACCUUCGCAGAAGGGUAUUUGGUCGCAGCGCCUCCUGGUGACCAGAGGCCAGAGAGGAAGGGAGCAGAUGCCGAGCACGCCUGGCGCUUGCUUUGUUUUAGGUCUUGUUUAAUAAGAUUGUAUACCUGA